UAACAAAAAGCUACUAGGCUAAUCAAGGCUGAUACAGCUACAGGGCUAACACAAACAGCUACUAGGCUACUAUAGCUAGUGGGCUAAUAAACAGCUACUGUGCUCACACACACAGAUGAUGCUGAACGGGAGAGAUUGUUCUUGUAUUUUUAUCGCAGACAUGCCUCCUAGCUGCGUCUCUUUUUGGUUUAUUUAUAAUGUCUCAGAGUAGGAGAUGAAGAGGAAGAGACAGCAUGAGGAGGAGAAGCCUACUGCUAGCCCUGGUCCAUUACUGCUAGCCCUCUGUUAGCCUUCUGUUAACCCUGGUUAGCCUACCGCUAGUCCUGGCUUAGCCUACCGCUAGCCCUGGUUAGCCUACAGCCUGGCAUGGUUAGUAUAGCGCUAGCCCAUAUUAGCCUACUGCUAGCCCUGGUUAGCCUACCGCUAGCCCUGGUUAGCCGACCGCUUGCCCUGGUUAGCCUACUGUUUGCCCUUGUUAGCUUACUGCUAGCCCUGGUUAGUCGACUGCUAGCCCUGGUUUCCUAUUGUUAGCCCUGGUUAGCUUACUGCUAGCCCUGGUUAGCUUACUGCUAGCCCUGGUUAGUCGACCGCUAGCCCUGGUUAGCCUACUGUUAGCCCUGGUUAGCUUAUGGCUAGGCCUGCUCAGCCUACCUCCAGGCUUCGGUAUGCAAACUUCCUCUGAAGUUCUUCAGUUUUAUUUCAUCGUAUUUAUAUUGGGAGGGUUUGAGUUAAUACAUGUUCAACGGACCAGCUCUCCUGGACUCUCCCCCCUACCCCUUUAAGACGGACCCCCUCCUCACCACUAAACACGCCUGUCUGUGCCAUGUCUGUACGCUGUUUGCACCAGACACUAGAGUAUCAUGUAGUCGACAACAGGGUCACAACGUUUAGAACGGGCCGACCCGGGUUCUGGACGGACCUCCUGAGCCGUCCGAUGGAGCCGAGCUAGGAAGUUCUCCAGAGUAAAACCGUGUGUAUUUGUUUACACAUAUCAAAUAUGAGCGUUUGGCUGGAAUUAGAUAUGUUUUGGGUCCGCCCUUAUUGGAAUUGUCAAAUUCAGUUUUCCUGCCGCGAGACAGCCAAAUAUUUGUGUUAAUUUCUAAACGCAGUCUGUGACAAUGACCAUGUUUAAGUGUUAUUGACGAGGUUUCAGAAGAAAAAAACUGAAGAGUAACUUAUUUUCUACAAGAUCCCGUGAAGUAUAAAGUAAAAAGAUGCGAUAAGCCAGUGGGAUCUCGGAGUAGCCGCGGUAGAAGCUGAGUAGGAUCUCUUAGACAGCGCUGUGUAAUAGGUAGAGCUAUAAACACUCUGUGGUUGUACAGAACUGGAAACGGUUCCUCCUGUGAUAUUUCUAUAUUUGAUGGGUAGCUUGUGACCUUGUACAGAGAGUAGAAGUCUUUUCGUUUGUAGUUUGGAUCUGCUAAGCACUUUACCGUCCAGUACAAUUUAAAUCCAUUCAGUAGAGCUCGACGACUUUUAUUUUGGUAUUUUUCGUAUAUGACCGUUUUUCGAUACUCCUCCAUGUGUUGAAGCGCUGAUGCUGUGCUCGAGGAAAAGAAACGCCAACACGCAUCUCCUAGAUAUCGUGUCUGCUGUUACUCUGUAUAAAUCAUUACUCCUAUACAGUAUGUGAAUACAGGCCCCCCAACACUGAGCCUACUGGGUCCCUGGCAGUACAGGCCCCCAACACUGAGCCUACUGGGUCCCUGGGGGUCUAUAGAGGACCAAUGGGUCUGGCCCCUGGGUCUCUAGUGGGUCUGGCCCCUGGGUCUCUAGUGUGUCUGGCCCCUGGGUCUCUAGUGGCUCUGGCCCUAGCUCUGGCCCUGGGUUUGGCCCUGGGUUUGGCCCUGGGUUUGGCCCUUGGUCUAGUCCUGGGUCUGGCCCUGGGUUUGGCCCUGGGUUUGGCCCUGGGUCUGGCCCUGGGUUUGGCCCUUGGUCUAGCCCUUGGUCUGGCCCUGGGUUUGGCCCUUGGUCUAGCCCUGGGUUUGGCCCUUGGUUUGGCCCUUAGUCUAGCCCUGGGUUUGGCCCUGGGUUUGGCCCUGGGUUUGGCCCUUGGUCUAGCCCUAGCUCUGGCCCUGGGUUUGACCCUUGGUUUGGCCAUGGGUUUGGCCCUUGGUCUAGCCCUGGGUUUAGCCCUUGGUCUAGCCCUUGGUCUGGCCCUUGGUCUAGCCCUGGGUUUGGCCCUGGCCAUGGUCCUGGUUCUCAUCAGUAUUUAUUUGCCACGUUAAAGAGUAUUUGUGUUUCACUAAAUGUCACGUGCCUUAGAUGCCAACAGCCUCCGUGUUGGAAGAGCUUAGAUUAAAACGUAGGAACUGGGUUUUCUUAGCCUCCAGGCAUUAGGAUGUCAGCGUUUCCGCGUUGUCUGAUUUUAAUUUUUUUGGUGAAACAUUUAAGGAAAGGAUCUUUUCCAAACCGUCCUUUCCACUCUCCGGUGCCAUAUGUAGUUCACGGUGACGUUUGACCACAAGCCAACGAUCAACUCGCACCUCGGUUCCGACGAAGGUAACAGAACGACGCGUCGGCCGUCGCUAAGAGUCGCGCUUCACGGGUGUUUCUGUCGGCACUCGACCCGGGUCCGCCGCAGGGGUUCUCCCGUUGGAUCUGCGAAGCACGAGGCGAGCAGGAACGGCUCUGAAGCGGACUCACUUUGUCUUAAGGACCCACGGCGUUUUGUACAGAUGUUCAGCAGCUGCUCCAUCCAGAGUAGGAAGCUCUUUUGUAAACCUUUUGAAACACUUGAGUUAAAUAAAGCACCUUAGCACCUGCAGUCCUCGUCAAUGACCUGAGAAACUCGCUCACAUGUCCCUGCUCUGCGUCUAUUACCAAUGCACAGAAUCACUUAUUCCUAUGGUAAAUAAUCACUUGAUAUGACUUCUUAUGGUAUAGAAUCACAUCACUUAUUAUCGUACAGAAUCACAUUAUUUAUUAUCGUCAUACAGAAUCACUUAUGUUUAGGAUACAGAAUCACUUAAUAUAACAUGUUUUACAGAAUCACUCAAUAUCAUUUAUGGAACAGAAUCACGUAAUAUAACUUCUUAUGGUACUAAAUCACUUUUUAUUGCCCCAGAAGAAUAUCACACUGUCACUCUUGUAGCUCACCGAACAUGAGAGGACUACAGUACAUGUCUUUUACCACCUGAGCAGAUAGCACUCUGUAGGCUCAUAACACUAGUUACCAGUACUAACUUAAUCUACAUCUUGAGCUUGUUCCUGUUCUAACCUUCUGCUGCUCGGGCGCAGUCUCCUCUCUCCACAGGAUGUGGAGGACCAUUUAGGACUCUCAGGUAAUGGUUUUACCUGCAGACCGUUUCGAUUUAUUGUCCCUUUUUAAUUGCUGACCAACGAUCGGUCGUACAAUGACCCACACAGCCGCACACAAACACAGUCUCAAAGAUACACACACACACACACACACACACACACACACACACACACACACACACACACACACACACACACACACACACACACACACACACACACACACACACACAUCCAGACUCUCAAA